CCAUGUUGUGGGUUCCUUAGCUCCAAUUAUAUUAAUCUCUAGCCAUCUUCUUUCAUAGUGCAUGACCACAUUCAAUCUUUGGAAGGGGAUUUACAGUAUUUUAAAACCAAGCGGGCCAUGUUAAAUAUUCAACAUCCAUGUUCUUGGAGGUUAAACUGCUGUUUUUGGAGUUUGGUGUCUCAAGAGAGAGUGAUUCGAGAAAUCCUCCUCAGUUUUUUGGAUCCUCAUCAAAGCAGAGAGAGAGAGAGAGAAAAGCUUGUCUGCACGGGAAAGCGACUGUCUUUCCUGUUACACUUCUCUUCUUUGAGGUUUUGGAGAGGAGAGACUGGAGCUCUCGAGACCGUAAGGUGAGGUAAAACCUACAGACACUACAGACAUUUUCGUAUUGGAUCCUGUCCAGCGAACCAUGCAAGCUUCACCCCGCCCUGCCUGACAAUGGGAAUGCUGGUUACCAUGCGACACACUCACAAACUGGAGGGACGAGCAGGUGCUGAGGACUUCUGCUGGUGGGUGGCAGGCGACGGUUGGCACAAACAUGGCUUUCAUCGGUCAGUGAGGCUAUUUUUAUCUCCGUGCCCAUCCCGUGAAGAAAAUAUGUCCUGAAAAAAGUUCCCCCCCUGGUGACGACUGAGCCUGUUGUUGAAGUUGACCCGGUGCUGGAAGGCUUCAGUGUGUUUCAGAGGGCAGAACAGCCUGUUAUGGACGACUAUGCCGUGUGUGAAUGUGAUAAUGUGUGAGGAUUGACACGCUGACAGCUG